UACGGGGGGGGGUAAGCGUUGUUCGGAAUUACUGGGCGUAAAGGGCUCGUAGGCGGCCAACUAAGUCAUACGUGAAAUCCCUCAGCUUAACUGGGGACUGCGUGUGAUACUGGAUGGCUUGGAUUUGGGAGAGGGAUGCGGAAUUCCAGGUGUAGCGGUGAAAUGCGCGAUAUCAAGGAGGAACACCGGUGGCGAAGGCGGGUCUCUGGGCCGAAACUGACGCUGAGGAGCGAAAGCGUGGGGAGCGAACAGG
rnacentral:rRNA from 1 species